rnacentral:rRNA from 1 species
AACGCGAAGAACCUUACCAGCCCUUGACAUGUCCCGUAUGGGUUUCAGAGAUGAGACCCUUCAGUUCGGCUGGCGGGAACACAGGUGCUGCAUGGCUGUCGUCAGCUCGUGUCGUGAGAUGUUGGGUUAAGUCCCGCAACGAGCGCAACCCUCGCCCUUAGUUGCCAUCAUUCAGUUGGGCACUCUAAGGGGACUGCCGGUGAUAAGCCGCGAGGAAGGUGGGGAUGACGUCAAGUCCUCAUGGCCCUUACGGGCUGGGCUACACACGUGCUACAAUGGCGGUGACAAUGGGACGCAAUGGAGCAAUCCUGCGCAAAUCUCAAAAAGCCGUCUCAGUUCGGAUUGGGCUCUGCAACUCGAGCCCAUGAAGUUGGAAUCGCUAGUAAUCGCAGAUCAGCACGCUGCGGUGAAUACGUUCCCGGGUCUUGUACACACCG